GGAUAACCUACCCUUAGGACCGGGAUAACCCUGGGAAACUGGGGAUAAUACUGGAUAGGCAAUUUUUCCUGUAAUGGUUUAUUGUUUAAAUGUUUUUUCGCCUAAGGAUGGGUCUGCGGCCGAUUAGGUAGUUGGUUAGGUAACGGCUUACCAAGCCAUUGAUCGGUACGGGUUGUGAGAGCAAGAGCCCGGAGAUGGAACCUGAGACAAGGUUCCAGGCCCUACGGGGUGCAGCAGGCGCGAAACCUCCGCAAUGUGAGAAAUCGCGACGGGGGGAUCCCAAGUGCCAUUCUUAACGGGAUGGCUUUUCAUUAGUGUAAAGAGCUUUUGGAAUAAGAGCUGGGCAAGACCGGUGCCAGCCGCCGCGGUAACACCGGCAGCUCUAGUGGUAGCAACUUUUAUUGGGCCUAAAGCGUCCGUAGCCGGUUUAAUAAGUCUCUGGUGAAAUCCUGUAGCUUAACUGUGGGAAUUGCUGGAGAUACUAUUAGACUUGAGACCGGGAGAGGUUAGAGGUACUCCCAGGGUAGAGGUGAAAUUCUGUAAUCCUGGGAGGACCGCCUGUUGCGAAGGCGUCUAACUGGAGCGGUUCUGACGGUGAGGGACGAAAGUUAGGGGCGCGAACCGGAUUAGAUACCCGGGUAGUCCUAACUGUAAACGAUGCGGACUUGGUGUUGGGGUGGCUUUGAGCUGUCCCAGUGC
rnacentral:rRNA from 1 species